GCUGAUCUUUGCUUUGCUAAGAGGCACAGCUGAGAACGUCUCCUGGGUUCCUCUUGCUCCCUCCCGCUGAUUUGUGCUGAGGCUGAGGCCCUGCUCUCUGCUAAGUUGUGUCAUGGCUGUUGCUAACCUGACUCUAUUGAACUGGACUGCGGGUGUAUCCACAAAGUGUUUGUAAGUGAGCUGCUGCUGCCUGCUAAUCUGUGACCUGAACCGUUGAUACCCAGGCGACACAAAUGGGAGUUGCCCCAUGUCCUUUCUUUCCCACUACCUCUGGAGGGUGGUAGGCUACAAGGGAGGUUAAAGCAUCAAAGAACUAUGAUUAAAAAUAAGGUUUGGAAAAAUUAAAGUUACAGGUGGCGCCCAACAUGGUUUAGGCAUAAUGGGUAACUCUGCUUCUAAUGCACAGGAAAUGGCUGAUUAUGAGGGUUUAGCAAUGUUGCUUAAGGAGAUUGGCAAAAUGGCAGCUACUGUUGCUAGGAGGUAUUGUGCCUUGCUCGCAGAGGGGACUUCUUAGUUUUGAUUUGUAGUUUUCAUAAAUACUAUUUUGAAAAAGUUUAAUGGGAAACCCUUCUGUUAGAGAAGAUCGCAGAGUUGGCCAUGCAUUUAGAGAUUUUGUGGAUAGAGGCAGAAGUGCUUGGAAAACACAAAGAGCCAAUGGGGGUCGGGGGGGGGGGGAGUGUUGUUCAGGCUUGGUGAAUGAGAACAGGACUGUACUGAACGAUGAAAGCAAACUAGGCAGGAAGGUAAACUGCUGUCCCACCCUGCUUCUAGGGGCCUGAAAGAGCAGGGAACAGCACAGUAUAACAGGCUAAGGUGUAGCCAAGUGUACCACCAGAGAAUUUGCUUGGGCCUACACAGGCACCUUCAGCCUCCCCUGUCUGUGCAGCAUAUGCCUGGUAUCAAUGGUGGAGAGGCUUACAAUGAAUUAACCUGGAGACCAAUAUAAAUGUCAGAUUUAAAGCAUUUUAAAGAGGCUGUGAUAUUGCAUGGCUUACAUUCUUUUGUCAAAGAAAUGCUAAACAACUGGGCUACAUAUACAUCCCAGGCUUAUCCCACAAGAUUGGAAGGGAUUGGUGUCAGCUGUUCUAGAAGUUGGUCAACAAUUACAAUGGUUGUUGCGGUGGAGGCACGAAGCCACAGGACUAGCACAACAUAAUUUAGCAAGGGGGAAUACACGUUACUAAAGACUAGCUGCUUGGUGAAGGGCGUUGUGCUGACUUACAAGAACAAAUCCAAUUUGAUGAUGAUGUAAUCGAGCAAUGUUGUACUGCAGCUUUAAAAGCUUGGGAUUUGGUUGAUUUGGGGGAGAAUCUACUGUAUUUACUAAAAUAAUACAGGGCUCUGGGGAAGCCUUCGCAGAAUUCUUACAGAGGUUGAGUUCAGCUGUGAAUAGAGCCAUAACACACCCUGAAAGCAGACAGUCAUUGAUAGAAAUAUUGGCAUUUAAUAAAUGCAAAUACCAAAUGUUAGAGAGUAGUAAGACCAUUGAAAGCAUGUGGAGCUCCAAUAGAUGAAUGGAUAAGGGAGACAACUGAUAUUGGUUCUCAGGAGUAGCAAAUCAUAGCUAGAAAUUUCAGGAAUCAAAGUGCUGGAUGUAAAUGUGGCGCAUUUUGGUCAUUUCCAAAGAAACUGUAAGGCAGAGAAUUCAGAGGAUUCAGAGCUCAAAGUAACAGGCGCAAUGGUGAUCAUAGGAGAGAAUGAGCAGGUUCCGGUCAUGUCACUACGAGCCACCAAGGCUUCCAGGGUAUCGUAGCCACUGUGGAGAGGGCAAACAUUGGUCAACAGACUGCUGGUCUAAGAGAGACAUAAGAGGUAACCUCUUGUCAUUUGGAAAAGAACAGAGGGGUCUGUCAACGCCAGGCCCUGCAGCAAAACACCACCCAACACAACUGGCUCUCCAAAGAACCCUUAAGUUUCCACUUCAGGGACACAUGCAGAAGAGAUCUCGUGGUGACACAGGAGGAAGAGACUAUGGAGGGACUGGGCUCAUUCUAUGUAUUUAUUGUUUUGCUUACUAAAUAAUUAACUAGUUAAUUACCUAGUUAAUUAGUUAACCUUAGAGACAGGGUCUCAUGUAGCCUAAGGCUGGCUUCAAAUCCACAAUUCUGCCUUGUAGCAAUCGUCUCAAGGCUAAGAUCACAGGUGUGUUCCAUCAUCCCAAACAGUAAGUAUUCUUGAAAUAUCAAAUGACUAUGAGACACAGCAACUACUUUGGUUUUGUUAAAAGGAUGUGGGACUAUUGACAUGUUGCUUACCAAUGUCAUGCUGGGCCAGCCUUGCAGAGUGUUCUCUUUUCUAGGUCUAACCUGGUGCUUAGCUUGUUAUUUUGUAUGCCAGGAUGGCAUAAAGAAGCCAGAAGUCUUCAUCAACAUUAAGACAACUGCUGUAAAGAACUGAGGGAAGAGGGUGGUUUUAACCACACCAAAUAGUCGAAUUUUCUCACCCAAAUCCACAACUAUAGAACUACAAUGGCUGUUUAGCUUACAAGCACAGUCGAGGGCGUUAGUACUCAGCAGACAGUGACAUAAAUAAAUAACUGAGAAAUCAACUAAGCAUGGUUGAGAUUCUCUGCCAGUAAAAGCUCUGAGGGAAGAUUAGAUACCUUGAAUCAAUGUCAAAAUUCUACAGUGGUGGUAUGCACCUUUAAUUUCAGCACUAGAGAAGAUGCAGUGGGCAGGUCUCUGUGAGUUCAAGGCCAUCUGGUCUACAUAGUGAGUUCCAGGACAGCUAGGGCUAUAGAGAGAGAUCAAGUCUCACAAAUAUACAAACGAAACCCUUCAGCUCAGCUGAGUGGUAUUUGUCUAUGAAAUCAAAAAUGGAAGAGACCAGUGAAGUCUGGAGGAGUUUUCAGUUGUGCUCGGCUGCCCGCUCACCUUACUAGAUUAUAAAGCACUCCAGAGGUUAGUGGCAGAACAGUUGGCCAUAAUUGUUCUUUCGUCAUUAUGCAGAAGAAUAAAAUGCAGAAGACAGUAGCAAGUAUGCUAUCAUGUCUGCUCAAAUGAGGAAGUAGAGGGAAAGUAGAGAUAUGGCAUUUGUUGCUCUUGUAGAGGACUGGGCUUCAGUUCCCAGCACCCAUACAAUGGCUCACAAUCACAUACGUAUAUGCAUGCCCCUUAAAUAUGUCAACACAAUAUAUUUUUAAAGGAUGAGGUAAAGCUAUAUCAACCUACUUGAAGUUCUUUUCCAGUAUUUAAAGCUUCAUAAAGAAAGCACACUGGCCUGGCGUUGGUGUUGCAUGCCUUUAAUCCCAGCACUUGGGAGGCAGAGGCAGGUGGAUUUCUGAGUUCAAGGCCAGCCAAAGUGAGUUCCAGGACAGCCAGGGCUACACAGAGAAACCCUGUCUC
rnacentral:lncRNA from 1 species